AUGUUAAUUAACUUAAAAUGUAGAAGAGCAAUUGUUAGUAAUGUUUAUGUCAAACAUAAUGCACAUAAAAACAUUAAAAUAGGUUCUGUAUAUAAUUUGACCUGUGGUGAAUUUGAAUUAACUUUUAAAAUACUUUUUAACAUAUACACAUUUUUCUAUGUAGGUCCCACUGUGUUAGAUACAUUUUUCUAUGUAGGCCCCACUGUGUUAGACACAUUUUUCUAUGUAGGCCCCACUGUGUUAGACACAUUUUUCUAUGUAGGUCUCACUGUGUUAGACACAUUUUUCUAUGUAGGUCCCACUGUGUUAGAUACAUUUUUCUAUGUAGGUCCCACUGUGUUAGACACAUUUUUCUAUGUAGGCCCCACUGUGUUAGACACAUUUUUCUAUGUAGGCCCCACUGUGUUAGAUACAUUUUUCUAUGUAGGCCCCACUGUGUUAGACACAUUUUUCUAUGUAGGCCCCACUGUGUUAGAUACAUUUUUCUAUGUAGGCCCCACUGUGUUAGACACAUUUUUCUAUGUAGGUCCCACUGUGUUAGACACAUUUUUCUAUGUAGGUCCCACUGUGUUAGACACAUUUUUCUAUGUAGGCCCCACUGUGUUAGACACAUUUUUCUAUGUAGGCCCCACUGUGUUAGACACAUUUUUCUAUGUAGGCCCCACUGUGUUAGACACAUUUUUCUAUGUAGGCCCCACUGUGUUAGACACAUUUUUCUAUGUAGGCCCCACUGUGUUAGACACAUUUUUCUAUGUAGGCCCCACUGUGUUAGACACAUUUUUCUAUGUAGGUCCCACUGUGUUAGAUACAUUUUUCUAUGUAGGUCCCACUGUGUUAGAUACAUUUUUCUAUGUAGGCCCCACUGUGUUAGACACAUUUUUCUAUGUAGGUCCCACUGUGUUAGACACAUUUUUCUAUGUAGGUCUCACUGUGUUAGACACAUUUUUCUAUGUAGGGCCCACUGUGUUAGACACAUUUUUCUAUGUAGGUCCCACUGUGUUAGACACAUUUUUCUAUGUAGGUCCCACUGUGUUAGACACAUUUUUCUAUGUAGGCCCCACUGUGUUAGACACAUUUUUCUAUGUAGGCCCCACUGUGUUAGACACAUUUUUCUAUGUAGGCCCCACUGUGUUAGACACAUUUUUCUAUGUAGGCCCCACUGUGUUAGACACAUUUUUCUAUGUAGGCCCCACUGUGUUAGACACAUUUUUCUAUGUAGGUCCCACUGUGUUAGAUACAUUUUUCUAUGUAGGCCCCACUGUGUUAGACACAUUUUUCUAUGUAGGCCCCACUGUGUUAGACACAUUUUUCUAUGUAGGCCCCACUGUGUUAGACACAUUUUUCUAUGUAGGUCCCACUGUGUUAGAUACAUUUUUCUAUGUAGGUCCCACUGUGUUAGAUACAUUUUUCUAUGUAGGCCCCACUGUGUUAGACACAUUUUUCUAUGUAGGCCCCACUGUGUUAGCCACAUUUUUCUAUGUAGGCCCCACUGUGUUAGACACAUUUUUCAGUUGUGGUAUAAUGCUCAUUUCAUGCUCAAAUGUUUUUAUAUUCCAUGUGCCACAGAAGAAAGAGAUGAGAUGA
rnacentral:lncRNA from 1 species